AGAAUCAACGCUGGCGGCGUGCCUCAGACAUGCAAGUCGAACGCGAAAGCCCCCUUCGGGGGCAAGUAGAGUGGCGCACGGGUGAGUAACACGUAGGUAAUCUACCUUCGGAUGGGGAAUAACAAUCGGAAACGGUUGCUAAUACCGCAUAAUGCAGCGGCACCUAAUGGUGACAGUUGUUAAAGCGGGGGAUCGAAAGACCUCGCGUCUGAAGAGGAGCCUGCGGCGGAUUAGCUAGUUGGUAAGGUAAUGGCUUACCAAGGCUACGAUCC
rnacentral:rRNA from 1 species